UCCGUAGGUGGAUAAUUAAGUCAGAGGUGAAAGUUUGCAGCUCAACUGUAAAAUUGCCUUUGAUACUGGGUAUCUUGAGUUAUUGUGAAGUAGUUAGAAUAUGUAGUGUAGCGGUGAAAUGCAUAGAUAUUACAUAGAAUACCAAUUGCGAAGGCAGAUUACUAACAAUAUACUGACACUGAUGGACGAAAGCGUGGGUAGCGAACAGGAUUAGAUACCCUGGUAGUCC
rnacentral:rRNA from 1 species